rnacentral:rRNA from 1 species
GUAUAGAGUUAUUGGCGUACAACUUUGAGCGGUGGAUCACUCGGCGCUGUGUGUCGAUGAAGAGUGCAGC